UAGGGAAUCUUCGGCAAUGGACGAAAGUCUGACCGAGCAACGCCGCGUGAGUGAAGAAGGUUUUCGGAUCGUAAAACUCUGUUGUUAGAGAAGAACAAGGACGUUAGUAACUGAACGUCCCCUGACGGUAUCUAACCAGAAAGCCACGGCUAACUACGUGCCAGCAGCAGCGGUAAUACGUAGGUGGCAAGCGUUGUCCGGAUUUAUUGGGCGUAAAGCGAGCGCAGGCGGGUUCUUAAGUCUGAUGUGAAAGCCCCCGGCUCAACCGGGGAGGGUCAUUGGAAACUGGGAGACUUGAGUGCAGAAGAGGAGAGUGGAAUUCCAUGGGUAGCGGUGAAAUGCGUAGAUAUAUGGAGGAACCCCAGUGGCGAAGGCGGCUCUCUGGUCUGUAACUGACGCUGAGGCUCGAAAGCGUGGGGAGCAAACAUG
rnacentral:rRNA from 1 species